GACUUUGUAAACUUGAACUCUGAUUAAUAUUAAUCUGGGGCUUUUUUUAUUUUCUUUUAGUUUUGGGGUGAAAUCAGAAGCUAUUUUUUUGUGGGCCCCAGUUUUUAAUGUUUAUAGAGCAAGCCGGAUUAGUACCCGGUUAGAUAAAGGUUAAAAAAGCAGGAGUAAAGUAGUAUUUAAACUGUAAGAGUAUUGGCAGGUUCUUAAAUUAUCUUUGGAGGUUGAGUAGUAAUUGAGACCCCUCAUUAGCAACUUUUAUUUUUGGCGCAUGUAUGAUCGUUUAUUUUAUUCUUAGGGGUUGUAAUUUUAGUUUUAUUGCUGUAAAAAUAGAUAGGUAUCUGGUCUAUGUAAAAGAUUUAAUUUGACCUACAAUAUUUAAGAAUGUGGAUUCCUGGGGGAGCCCCCAGGGUUGAAAAUGUAAAAGACAGUAAAUCACUUUUUAUAGGUGUUUGAAGUUUAUUUAAGAAC
rnacentral:rRNA from 1 species